UAGGGAAUCUUCCGCAAUGGACGCAAGUCUGACGGAGCAACGCCGCGUGAGUGAAGAAGGAUUUCGGUUCGUAAAACUCUGUUGUUAGAGAAGAACAGCGCAUAGAGUAACUGUUAUGCGUGUGACGGUAUCUAACCAGAAAGCCACGGCUAACUACGUGCCAGCAGCCGCGGUAAUACGUAGGUCCCGAGCGUUGUCCGGAUUUAUUGGGCGUAAAGCGAGCGCAGGCGGUUAGAAAAGUCUGAAGUGAAAGGCAGUGGCUCAACCAUUGUAGGCUUUGGAAACUGUUUAACUUGAGUGCAGAAGGGGAGAGUGGAAUUCCAUGUGUAGCGGUGAAAUGCGUAGAUAUAUGGAGGAACACCAGUGGCGAAGGCGACUCUCUGGUCUGUAACUGACGCUGAGGCUCGAAAGCGUGGGUAGCAAACAGGA
rnacentral:rRNA from 1 species